rnacentral:rRNA from 1 species
GACGAACGCUGGCGGCGUGCUUAACACAUGCAAGUCGAACGGAAAGGCCCUGCUUUUGUGGGGUGCUCGAGUGGCGAACGGGUGAGUAACACGUGAGUAACCUGCCCUUGACUUUGGGAUAACUUCAGGAAACUGGGGCUAAUACCGGAUAGGAGCUCCUGCUACAUGGUGGGGGUUGGAAAGUUUCGGCGGGUGGGGAUGGACUCGCGGCUUAUCAGCUUGUUGGUGGGGUAGUGGCUUACCAAGGCUUUGACGGGUAGCCGGCCUGAGAGGGUGACCGGCCACCUUGGUACUGCGGUACGGCCCAGUCUCCUACGGUAGGCAGCAGUGGGGAAUCUUGCACAAUGGGCGGAAGCCUGAUGCAGCAACGCCGCGUGCGGGAUGACGGCCUUCGGGUUGUAAACCGCUUUCGCCUGUGACGAAGCGUGAGUGACGGUAAUGGGUAAAGAAGCACCGGCUAACUACGUG